rnacentral:ribozyme from 1 species
UGACCAGCAACUCCUAUCCCUACCUCCACGUGGCACUAGUCAGGCUGCGAGCAACCCCAGGGAAGAUCGGGUAACCAACCCCGGUGGGAGCUUUGAUCGUAGGCUGAUAGGGAAGG